rnacentral:lncRNA from 1 species
GGCAGUGUAAUUUGUUGAUUUACAUAGCCAUCAAAAAAUGAGCAUUCAUAUUCCUGGUUAGGAGAGAGGGCUGCAAAGAAAGUAUCACGAAAAUAAGCUGGUACCCACUGACGACGUGUAUUAUAUAUGGAUUGAAGCCAAUCAUUCUUCUUCAGAUCAUACUUUUCAAGGAUUGUCUCCCAAUAUGAUUCAAAUUCUUCAACUGUCUCCGUCAAAUUGAUACAAUUAUAGAGUUCAACUUGAAAAUUUGGGUACAUGUGACAUACAUGAGCCAUUCUGUCCUGGCCACCCCUUAAAAUAUGCCACUUGUUGAUACAAUGCCGUGUUCCAGGAAAAACUUGAGCAACUACAGAUUGUAUAACAGUGUCCUGAUCAGUAAUUAUGGAGACAGGGGCGCGGUCAUUCAUGGCAGCAAGGAAGGUCUUGAAUAGCCAGAAAAAUGUAGCCUCAGACUCAUCUAGAAGAAGUGCACAACCAAACAAAAUUGUCUGACCAUGAUGAUUUACUCCUGUGAAUGGAGCAAAUGGGACUCUGUACUGAUUAACUCUGUACAUUGUAUCCAGUAUAACAGCAUCACCAAAACGACUAUAUGCAUUUCUUGACCUUGCAUCAGCCCAAAAUACAUUAGCCAUGCGAUUAUCUUCGUCCAAUUGUAUGGCAUAGUAAAAUCCAGGAUUCUCAGCCUGCAUUUUCUUGAAGUAAUCAAGAAGAUUCUGAGCAUCUCUUCCUAAUGUUCUUCGUUGAUUUUGUCUAGGAGAAAAAGUCUGAGGUACAGUAUCCUUAACUGUGUGAUCUGACUCAGCCGGACGAGUACUCUUAGCUCCACGGUUGAUCUCUAAAGGGAUGCGGUUACCAUCUACAGAGACAUACAUUACACCACUAGGAACAAUUCCUACGCCCUGAUUAUUCUCAGGUCCAUUCUUUUUUGCCACCGCAAAAUGCCUGUGUGAUGUGUGGUAAUGCACCUUAUUAGGAUGCACAAGGGAGUGACUAUGCUCCUUCAUAUAUUUGGUCACAACCCACUUGUUUUGACCUUUUAACUCCACUCUAAGCAUUGCAUCACAGGAUUCACCGUACACUGUUCUCAAACCAUUACACAAGAAAUCAGUCUUCAAUCGAUUAAACUGAUAGACAUGGGUGGUAAGGCAUCACAGGAUUCACCGUACACUGUCCUCAAACCAUUACAUAAGAAAUCAGUCUUUUGUCGAUUAAACUGAUAGGCAUGGGUGGUAAAACCCAAACGCCUAGCGUAUUCAUCAUAGAAAUUCUUAGCCUGAUCUUCAGAAUGAAAUACCAUACCCGUUUGUGGCUCAACAACCUCAUC